UAAUUAAUAGUAACUAUACCAUUAGUUAAAUAUUAGUAAUAUGUUAGUUAAUGCUAAUAACUGCAUUCACUACCAUACAUUAAAUAACCAUUACUUAAAAUUACAGAGUAAUAAAGUAGUUAUUCUUUAUCACUGAGUGAAGUCGCGGAAAACAGCAGCCUUUAACAGGAGUUUAUACUAGGAGGGGGAACUGGAACAACUGGUUGGUUCACAAUAUCAUACUUGCCUUGUUGUUGUGUCGGACGGUUUGGUGCUGAGCUCUUCAUCACAGCAGGGAGAAGACAAGGUCUCCAGUCUACUAUGGAUGAGGAGAGAGAGGAGGGGGGUCCUACCUCUAAAACCACUCUUUCUGGGGAGCAUGGCCACCAGAGCAAAGCUAAGAGAGUCCAGCAGCAGACAGCAGACUACCCUGGACCCAGCCUUGUCUCCAUGAAGAGUGACAGCUCUACGACACAACCAAUUAGGUUUAAAGAUGGGAAUCAGACUACUGA